CGCGGCCUAUCAGCUUGUUGGUGGGGUAAUGGCCUACCAAGGCUUCGACGGGUAGCCGGCCUGAGAGGGUGACCGGCCACACUGGGACUGAGACACGGCCCAGACUCCUACGGGAGGCAGCAGUGGGGAAUAUUGGACAAUGGGCGGAAGCCUGAUCCAGCAACGCCGCGUGAGGGAUGACGGCCUUCGGGUUGUAAACCUCUUUCAGUACCGACGAAGCGAGAGUGACGGUAGGUACAGAAGAAGCACCGGCCAACUACGUGCCAGCAGCCGCGGUAAUACGUAGGGUGCGAGCGUUGUCCGGAAUUAUUGGGCGUAAAGGGCUCGUAGGCGGUUUGUCGCGUCGGGAGUGAAAACCAUGGGCUUAACUCAUGGCUUGCUUCCGAUACGGGCAGACUAGAGGUAUGCAGGGGAGAACGGAAUUCCUGGUGUAGCGGCGAAAUGCGCAGAUAUCAGGAGGAACACCGGUGGCGAAGGCGGUUCUCUGGGCAUUACCUGACGCUGAGGAGCGAAAGUGUGGGGAGCGAACAGGAUUAGAUACCCUGGUAGUCCACACCGUAAACGUUGGGCGCUAGGUGUGGGGUCCAUUCCACGGAUUCCGUGCCGCAGCUAACGCAUUAAGCGCCCCGCCUGGGGAGUACGG
rnacentral:rRNA from 1 species